rnacentral:snRNA from 1 species
UGAUGUGAGGGUGAUCUGGCUGUGAUUGCCAGGGUUGAUUCAGCUAAUCUGGCUGGCUAGGUUGGUGUCCCCUUGCUCCCUCACUGCUCCAUAUGCAUUGCUCCCAAAGCUGCUAAGCGGGGAGACCACCUCUCAUAUUGUCCUCUGCCUACUCUGCCUCAAAAGAAAGAGAAAGUAGGAGUUGAAGAAAAGGCAGAAGUGAAAUUCAAUAGUCAGACAGCCUGGUGCCACACCCCAGGCCUGGUAGAUAAAGAUUGACCCCUGACCUAAUCACUUAUGUUAUCUAUAGAUUCCAGACAUUGUGU